AUCCAGUUGAUGAUUCCGAAACAGGAUCAAACGCGCGUCCUGGAU
rfam:Schistosoma haematobium scaffold1046_2, whole genome shotgun sequence.